rnacentral:rRNA from 1 species
AUUGAACGCUGGCGGCAGGCUUAACACAUGCCAGUCGAACGAGUGGCGGACGGGUGAGUAAUGUAUGGGGAUCUGCCCGAUAGAGGGGGAUAACUACUGGAAACGGUGGCUAAUACCGCAUACUAUCGGAUGAACCCAUAUGGGAUUAGCUAGUAGGUUGGGUAAAGGCUCACCUAGGCGACGAUCUCUACCUGGGCUGCGAGGAUGAUCAGCCACACUGGGACUGAGACACGGCCCAGCCUCCUACGGGAGGCAGCAGUUGGGAAUAUUGCACAAUGGGCGCAAGCCUGAUGAAGCCAUGCCGCGUGUAUGAAGAAGGCCUUAGGGUUGUAAAGUACUUUCAGCGGGGAGGCGUUACCCGCAGAAGAAGCACCGGCUAACUCCGUGCCAGCAGCCGCGGUAAUUC